rnacentral:rRNA from 1 species
UGCCAGCAGCCGCGGUAAUACAGAGGGUGCGAGCGUUAAUCGGAUUUACUGGGCGUAAAGCGUGCGCAGGCGGUUAUGUAAGACAGAUGUGAAAUCCCCGGGCUCAACCUGGGAACUGCGUUUGUGACUGCAUAACUAGAGUACGGCAGAGGGAGGUGGAAUUCCGCGUGUAGCAGUGAAAUGCGUAGAUAUGCGGAGGAACACCGAUGGCGAAGGCAGCCUCCUGGGCCAGUACUGACGCUCAUGCACGAAAGCGUAGGGAGCAAACAGGAUUAGAUACCCUGGUAGUCC